UUCAGCGAGGGAACAUAAGGGAAGUACACAUUUGUAUAUAUUGAUGAAACCAAAAUUGGGAGAUGGCCUAGAUGAUAGGUCUGAAGUCAGUCAAUUGAGUAGAGGUGAUGUGGCAGCUGCAACCACGGAGUCUCAAGACGCUUGGCAUUGUGUUCUCUAUUCUAUGAUGGAAGCUACCCCUACCUCUAACCUCAACAGCCAAUGAACCUGGAGGCCUGCAGUAUUUCAAAGUGGGCUGGGAUUGUUGACUCCUCUAAACCAGACCAAACCUUGGAUUUCGUCCCACAGAAAAACAAGAUCAAGAGUAUCUGCCUGCUUUACGGUCCAUUAUUACUUUUGGUACGCGCUAGGCCAGUCUCAAACUCGUACCGUGAGUAAUAAUGCACUGUGGCUGUCACUGCCAACGAGGGACAGACCACACCACCAUAUCUUACUUUCACUGUUCUCCAUAUUCCUAUGCAUCUCGUUGUUGUAAAGCAAGAAAUGUGAUAUAUUCAUGAAAACUGUGUUUGAAACUCUAAGGCCUUGUGUGGGGAAAGACAGCAUUUUAAUAUAAUCCUUUGUCUACUUUCAUAAACAGACUAUUCAUUUUACUUAAAUAUUAUUGUUGAGUUGUUUACAUGAAAUAUGUAGAAUUUUCUGUACCUUGUGAUUGUAAGCUAUAUGCAAAUGAAUAAUAAUAAAAAUACUUGAAUUUA